UCGCAGCCCGGCUUGAACGGAAAUCCUUUUUUUGCGGCUGGAAAAACUUUGGCAAAAAAGAUUAGGAGUGGAAGACGGAAAAGCU
rnacentral:sRNA from 1 species